rnacentral:tRNA from 1 species
GGAGGGGUGUCCGAGCGGUUUAAGGUGGCGGUCUUGAAAACCGCUGAACUCAAAAGGUUCCGUGGGUUCGAAUCCCACCCCCUCCGCCA